rnacentral:ncRNA from 1 species
CGACGACCCCACGGGCGCCCGAGGCAUCGGGCUGAGAUUGCGCUGGUCAGCCGCGCAAGCACCGUUUGAACCUGUCUGGUUAGCACCAGCGAAGGAAGAGAGGCGUUGGCAUGCA